rnacentral:rRNA from 1 species
GAUGAACGCUAGCGGCAGGCCUAAUACAUGCAAGUCGAACGGUGUCUUCGGACAUAGUGGCGCACGGGUGCGUAACACGUAUGCAACCUACCGUACAUUGGGGGAUAGCCUUUCGAAAGGGAGAUUAAUACCGCAUAAGACAGUAGCUGGGCAUCCAGCAGCUGUUAAAGACUUAUCGAUGUAAGCUGGGCAUGCGUCCAAUUAGCUAGUUGGUGAGGUAACGGCUCACCAAGGCAAUGAUUGGUAGGGGAACUGAGAGGUCAAUCCCCCACACUGAGACUAAGAUACGGGCCAGAGUCCUACGGGAGGCAGGAAUAGGGAAUAAUGGGCAAUGGACGCAAGUCUGACCCAGCCAUGCCGCGUGGAGGGUGAAGGCGUUAUGCGUUGUAAACUGCUUUUAUACAGGAAGAAACGACUCUUGCGAGAGGCAUUGACGGUACUGUAAGAAUAAGCACCGGCUAACUCCGUGCCAGCCGCCGCGGUAACAC